rnacentral:rRNA from 1 species
UACGAAGGGGGCUAGCGUUGUUCGGAAUUACUGGGCGUAAAGGGCGCGUAGGCGGCGUGUCAAGUCAGGCGUGAAAGCCCCGGGCUCAACCUGGGAACCGCGCUUGAGACUGGCAUGCUCGAGUUCGGGAGAGGGUGGUGGAAUUCCCAGUGUAGAGGUGAAAUUCGUAGAUAUUGGGAAGAACACCGGUGGGCGAAGGCGGCUCACUGGCUCGUUUCUGACGCUCAGGCGCGAUAGCGUGGGGGAUCAAACAGG